rnacentral:tRNA from 1 species
UUAAAAAUAAGCUAAUUAAAGCUUUUGGGCUCAUAACCCAAAUAUAGAGGAAACCCCUUUUUUUUAAA